GUGUCCUGACCUCAUCCUAGCUACUCCCCUCACCGGAGCUGUGGUGGUGGGGUCUGGGGGUGGACACAGAUCAACUUCUCAUGUUAGGAGGGCUGCCAAAGACGUGUGCAAGCUCUUAAAGGCAAGAGAGGACAUU
rfam:Calypte anna contig53863, whole genome shotgun sequence.